rnacentral:rRNA from 1 species
UACGUAGGGUGCGAGCGUUGUCCGGAAUUAUUGGGCGUAAAGGGCUUGUAGGCGGUUGGUCGCGUCGGAAGUGAAAUCUCAGGGCUUAACUCUGAGUCUGCUUCUGAUACGGGCUGACUUGAGGGAUGCAGGGGAGAACGGAAUUCCUGGUGGAGCGGUGGAAUGCGCAGAUAUCAGGAGGAACACCGGUGGCGAAGGCGGUUCUCUGGGCAUUUCCUGACGCUGAGAAGCGAAAGCGUGGGGAGCAAACAGG